rnacentral:rRNA from 1 species
CAGCCGCCACGGUAAUACGUAGGGUGCGAGCGUUAAUCGGAAUUACGGGGCGUAAAGCGUGCGCAGGCGGUUCGUUAAGACAGAUGUGAAAUCCCCGGGCUUAACCUGGGAACUGCAUCUGUGACUGGCGAGCUAGAGUAUGGCAGAGGGGGGUAGAAUUCCACGUGUAGCAGUGAAAUGCGUAGAGAUGUGGAGGAAUACCGAUGGCGAAGGCAGCCCCCUGGGCCAAUACUGACGCUCAUGCACGAAAGCGUGGGGAGCAAACAGGAUUAGAUACCCGCGUAGUCCCUGUCUCUUAUAC